GGCUCGUUGGCAGAAUGGCUAUUGCAGCGGAUUGUAAAUCCGUGCCCUUCGGGGUUCCUGGUUCGAGUCCAGGGUGGGCCACCA
rnacentral:tRNA from 2 species